CCUCAACGUCAGUUUAUGGUGAGUCCGUGUCCACCGUGUCCACUCCUCCUGCUCUAUACCGGAGCCGUCUAUCGGCUCUAUAAUCCGCCGUGUGAACCGGGAUGCUGGUGCUGGGGGAUCCGUGAACACCGUGAGCUCCUGGGCUCUGUCACUUCCAGGAAAUGAAUGUUGUUUUAAUACCUCGUCUUUAGUUGUACACAGUAGUGUCCGCAUGAGAGACGUUUCUUUUUGAAUUUUAGCCGUUAUUUAGCCGGUUUUGAACCGUUAUUUAGCCGUUUAUUUUUAAAUUCUUUGACGGUUGGUCAGCAGCACCAGCAGCAGGGAGCAGAACUAAGAAGCCGCGGCCGCCUGACAGGUGCCGUCGCCCGGCUCUGUGUUUGGAGAGAUGCCGCCCGUCCAGAGAACCAUGUCUGAUCUUCGUACCCGGUCGGAGGGAUAUGAAAAGACAGAGGACACCACAGAAAGGACGUCCUUAGCUGACCAAGAAGAUGCCCGAAUGAUAUACCUCAACCAGCAGCAGUUCACCAAGUUUUGCAACAAUCGAGUCAGCACAGCCAAAUAUAACGUCCUCACCUUCCUUCCCCGGUUCCUCUACUCACAGUUCAGGAGGGCAGCCAACGCCUUCUUUCUCUUCAUUGCACUGUUGCAGCAAAUCCCAGAUGUGUCCCCCACUGGUCGCUGGACCACACUGGUGCCGCUGCUCUUCAUCCUGGUGGUGGCUGCUGUCAAGGAGUUCAUUGAGGAUCUGAAACGUCACAAUGCUGACGGCAUUGUCAACAAAAAGGAAUGUCAAGUCCUGAGGAAUGGUGCCUGGGAGAUUGUGCACUGGGAGAAGGUGGCUGUUGGGGAAGUAGUCAGAGCUUCAAACGGGGACCACCUCCCGGCUGACCUCGUCAUACUGUCGUCCAGUGAACCACAGGGUAUGUGCUACAUCGAAACAUCCAACUUGGAUGGAGAAACAAACCUUAAAAUCAGACAGGGUCUCCAAGUGACGUCAGACAUGAAGGACAUCGACAGCCUGAUGCGUCUCUCCGGGCGGAUGGAGUGCGAGAGUCCAAACCGCCAUCUGUACGAGUUUGUGGGGAACAUCCGCCUGGAUGGUCACAGUACAAUACCUCUGAGUCCAGACCAGAUCUUACUGAGAGGAGCCCAGCUGAGGAACACUCAGUGGGUGCACGGUGUGGUGGUCUACACUGGACAUGACACCAAGCUCAUGCAGAAUUCCACUCGGCCUCCUCUGAAGCUGUCCAACGUGGAGCGCAUCACCAACUUUCAGAUCCUGGUGCUGUUUGGCUGCCUGCUGGCCAUCUCUCUGGUCUGCUCCAUCGGCCAAACCAUCUGGAAGUACCAGUACGGCAAUGAUGCCUGGUACAUGGAUCUCAACUCUCCAGAUGGCGGGGCGGCUAACUUUGGCCUCAACUUCCUCACCUUCAUCAUCCUGUUCAACAACCUGAUUCCCAUCAGUCUCCUGGUCACGCUGGAGGUUAUCAAGUUCAUCCAGGCCUUUUUCAUCAACUGGGACACCGAUAUGCUCUAUGAGCCCACGAACACCCCGGCUCAGGCUCGCACCUCCAACCUGAAUGAAGAACUAGGCCAGGUGAAAUACAUUUUCUCUGACAAGACGGGGACCCUGACCUGCAACGUGAUGCAGUUCAAGAAGUGCACCAUCGCCGGUGUGGCCUACGGUCACGUCCCUGAGGCUGAGGAGGGUAGUUUUGCAGAGGACGACUGCCACAGCACACACUCGACGGAAGAGGAGGGAUUUAAUGACCCGAGCUUACUGGAAAACCUCCAUAGUAAUCACCCUACAGCUGCUGUCAUCCUGGACUUCAUGACCAUGAUGGCCAUCUGUCACACUGCAGUCCCCGAGCACACAGAUGGAAAAAUCAUCUACCAGGCUGCAUCACCAGAUGAAGGAGCUCUGGUGAGAGCAGCAAAAAACCUCGGCUUUGUGUUUUCUGGUCGAACUCCAGACAGCGUCAUCGUGGAAAUGCCUGGAACGGAGGAGAAGUACGAGCUGCUUCAUGUGCUGGAGUUCACAAGCACGAGGAAGAGGAUGUCAGUCAUCAUGCGCACCCCAUCUGGGAAGAUCCGCCUCUACUGCAAAGGAGCUGACACAGUGAUCUAUGACCGCCUGGCAGACAGCUCGAGGUACAAAGAGAUCACAUUGAAGCACCUGGAACAGUUUGCCACUGAGGGGCUGCGCACGCUGUGCUUUGCAGUGGCAGACGUCAGUGAGUCGUCCUAUCAGCAGUGGCUGGAGAUCCACCACAGAGCCAGCACCUCCCUGCAGAACAGAUCCCUGAAGCUGGAGGAGAGCUACGAACUGAUAGAGAAGAGUCUGCAGCUGCUCGGGGCCACAGCGAUAGAGGACAAACUCCAGGAUAAAGUGCCCGAGACCAUUGAGACUCUGAUGAAGGCCGACAUCAAGAUCUGGAUCCUGACUGGGGACAAACAGGAAACAGCUAUUAACAUUGGACAUUCCUGCAAACUACUGACCAAGAACAUGGGCAUGCUCGUGAUCAAUGAAGACACUCUUGAUAGAACGAGGGAAACGCUCAGCCACCACUGUGGAAUGCUGGGAGAUGCCCUCUACAAGGAGAACGACUUUGCCCUCAUUAUUGACGGGAAGACUCUCAAAUACGCCCUCACAUUCGGAGUGCGACAGUACUUCCUGGACCUCGCCCUGUCCUGUAAAGCUGUCAUAUGCUGCAGAGUAUCUCCUCUUCAGAAGUCCGAGGUGGUGGAGAUGGUAAAGAAACAGGUGAAGGUGAUCACGCUGGCCAUUGGUGAUGGUGCUAACGACGUGGGAAUGAUCCAGACAGCUCAUGUCGGUGUGGGAAUCUCAGGCAACGAGGGUCUGCAAGCAGCAAACUCCUCCGACUACUCUAUUGCCCAGUUCAAAUACUUGAAGAAUCUACUGCUCGUCCACGGAGCCUGGAAUUACAACCGUGUAGCCAAGUGUAUCCUGUACUGCUUCUACAAGAAUAUUGUCCUCUACAUCAUUGAGAUCUGGUUCGCGUUCGUCAAUGGCUUCUCAGGCCAGAUCCUGUUUGAACGCUGGUGCAUCGGCUUGUAUAACGUGAUCUUCACUGCUCUGCCUCCUCUCACUCUGGGAAUAUUUGAGCGCUCCUGCAGGAAAGAGAACAUGCUGAAGUACCCAGAACUCUACAAAACCUCCCAGAAUGCAAUGGGCUUUAAUACCAAGGUCUUCUGGGCCCAUUGUCUGAACGGCCUCUUCCACUCCGUCAUCCUCUUCUGGUUCCCCCUUAAAGCCUUCCAGCAUGAUACUGUUUUUGGCAACGGAAGAACUCCAGACUAUCUCCUCUUAGGCAACAUGGUUUACACAUUUGUGGUCAUCACAGUUUGUCUUAAAGCCGGCCUUGAGACCUCGUCCUGGACCAUGUUCAGUCACAUCGCCAUCUGGGGAAGCAUCGGCCUGUGGGUGGUGUUUUUCAUUAUCUACUCGUCCCUGUGGCCCCUCAUCCCUCUGGCUCCCGACAUGUCAGGAGAGGCGGCGAUGAUGUUCUCUUCGGGGGUCUUCUGGACGGGCCUGGUCUUCAUCCCAAUCACCUCGCUGGUCUUUGACGUGGCCUACAAAGUGGUGAAGAAGGUGUGUUUCAAAACCCUGGUGGAUGAGGUGCAGGAGCUCGAGGCUUUAUCCAAAGACCCUGGAGCAGUGGUGCAUGGAAAGAGUUUGACGGAGAGGGCCCAGCUCCUGAAGAACGUCUUCAAGAAGAGCACAGUCAGUUUGUACCGGUCUGACUCCAUGCAGCAGAACCUGCUCCGUGGGGAUGAGACCGUUGUUGUGUGAUACCUUUUUUUUUAAAUUUCAUUAUUCAAACCUCACCCCGUUUUAAUACUCCAGCCUCCUCUAGCUUCCCUGAUAGACGCCUCUCUCCCUCUCUUCUUUUUCUUUUGGUUGUUGACUUCCUGUCCUUCCCCUCGUGUGCCUCGUGUGCCUCGUGUGUCCUGAGUUGAGCUCAGUAGAGCGAGAUAAAGAUGAAAUGAUGAAAUGUUGCGCUGUUAUUCCCCCUACAAUGCACCCGUCUCAGCGGGGUCCUUUGAGCUUCCCCCGCUGGCCUCCAGGUAGUGACCGAGUCAUUUGACACCUGAAGAUGGCUACGCCUUCUCUCAAGACGAGAACGGAGUGGUGUCUCAGUCUGAUGUCAUCAGAGCGUACGACACCACCAAACAGAGGACCAACGAGUGGUGAGCCGCCGGCCCUCUGGUCGGCCAAUCCGGAGCCACAACAGCCGUUUCUACUGGCGAUAUUUGAAGCUUAGCGGGGGGGGAAGACGAGGUGCGAGCGUGUGCCUCCAGCACUGAGGGGAUUUAUAACGGACUGAGGAGAGUGUCUUUGAAAAAGGGAAGAAGAAAAAAAACAAAGGAACAAAACAAAUAGUGUUCACUAUCAGCUGUAGUUGUGUGUCCAGCAGACAUGAUGAGCACUGUGCUUUCUUAGCAGUCUGUGGUCUGAAGUUCUUCACUGUUCUCGCUCAGUUUGUUGGAGUGAACGUCUCCUCUAAAAUCAGUUUAAUUCAAUUAAAUCUCCUAAACACUGUUAUUAUUAUUAUUAUAAAAGUUAAAACACUGGACGAUGAUUAGUUUUAGAGGAUCUGAACUUGUGAAAGAUUGCCAAAGAGCAGUCGUAUAUACAAUCUUCCAAGUACUAGUGAAUUCGGAAAAACGUUAAACCAAAUGUAACCACACUCCUGAGUGUAUUCCAGCACUAAACGGACCACUUCAGAGCAGACAUUGUAAUAUUUACAUUUUCUUUUUGCACUUAAGGAAGCAUCUAUUGUGUAAAGCCUUACAUUUGCUCAUGCCUUCGUCCUUUUAACAUUUUUAGUUUCAUUUUUAAAAGUAUGUAGAUAUCGUGCCUGGUUUUUAUUUAUUGUUUUUAUUUUUUAUUUCUUUAGAGAAGUUGCCUCCUGCAGCUCACCGUAGUCCUGUUUCCACCGUUUCUACAGCAGAAGCAUUGCUCUCGACAGAUAAUUGCAUUCCACACAUCACUCCUGUCUCAACGAUCACAACGGUGCCUAUGUAGAACCUUUCCCUCAUAGAAGAAAAAAGAUAGCCAAGAAUAGUUUAGCCAGCUAGCUUAGACCAGUGCUCCACACACACACACCUACUGAAGACACUGUCUCCCCACCACAGUAUUGCACUCGUACAAUGUGAAAACUACAGAGUGCCUUGUGGCACGUGUACACACUAAGAUUUGUUCCUGCGGAGGCGGAGCGGGAGGCUCUCUGAUGGUGGUGUUGGAGCUUAGAGCGGUGAUAGUCCCUUAAAAUGGAGAUUUUUAUCCUUCUAACAUAAGUGCCAUUAGCUUAAAGGGGGAGAGAAAUAUUAGCCAGGAAAACUCCACGACAAUAUCAAAACUACUUUGUCUCUAUAGUUAUUUUGUGGAUUUGUAUUUUUAUAUUGGAGAUGUAUGAAUUUUGCAUUGACUGGCUUUGUAAUGAACUGUCUGUAACUUUUUGUUUCUUCCUCUGAUAAACUGGCAGGAUAGAAUAGAUCGAAUGAGGAGCUUUCUUAAAUGUCUUGUUAUUAUUAUUGAUAUUAAUAUUGUUACAGCUUGAUUUAUUUAUAAUUGACUACUUAAUGUCCGUGUGAUUGCUUUCUUCUCCCUAUGGGAGAUCUCUGACGGUGUGUGUGAGUGUGUUAUUGCCUGCAUGUGCAUGUGCUGUAUGUCUGUGUGUAUGUGUGUAUGUGUGUGUGUGUCACCUCUACUGUGGAUAACUUCUAUGUAUGCAUUGCAUGUCUGUGUCCUCUAUGUGAGACUGGGAGUCUCCUGGUGUGUUUCUGUGUGUGUGAAUGUGUAUGUGUGUGUGUGGCUUGCUCCAGUUGUCCGUCUGCACGACUCCAGGUAUAGCUAUGGUGUACUGCUGUGUGCUGAUGCAUGGCCCGUAUGGGGAAGUGUGAGUGUUAUUAGUGUGCGGUAUGACUGUGUGUAUGUGUGUGGUCAAACUCUCGACCUCGACUGUGAGAGUUUCUGAUGCUCAGCUCGCUUCGACAGGAGAUGUUGCACAAUGCACUUGAUGUACCUUUUCCAGUAGUGGAUAUCUGGUAUUAUCUGGUUUCAGUAUAUGAUUUCUCUUCUUGAGUGUAGGUAGAUGUUUUUCUUCACGCAGUGUACCUCUGCUUUACGGGAAAGCUCUUUAGUGAGGAUUAAUGAUCAUUUUUCUCUGCUGGUCUUUUUAGUGUUAAAAAAACUUAAAUUGGUCGUCAUCUUCGUCAAAAACGUUUCCAAACCGCUGAAUGUGGAUGUAGACUGUUGCUUUCUCUUUUUUCCAGAAAACAUAAAAACACACACGUUGUCGUCUGUGAAAGUCGUGGGCUGCAUGAAUGGAUAACACGAAAUGUUUAACUGUACUACUUUGAUUCUCCCUCGAGUGUUGAUCACUUUACAAAAGAGAAAAAAACGCACCUUUAACUUUUACUUUUCAAUAUUUGUUUCUUCUUUUUUCCGUCAUUUUGUUCGAUGAUUGUUCUGCAUGUUGGGACUGCAAACUUAUAAGUGUUGUCUUUUACUGCCAUGAAGGACUACUGAAAUAAACUCUACAAUCAUGGAGGAACAAUGUGAA